GAUUAAAGAUUUAUCGGUGAUGGAUGGGGAUGCGUCUGAUUAGCUUGUUGGCGGGGUAACGGCCCACCAAGGCUACGAUCAGUAGGGGUUCUGAGAGGAAGGUCCCCCACAUUGGAACUGAGACACGGUCCAAACUCCUACGGGAGGCAGCAGUGAGGAAUAUUGGUCAAUGGACGAGAGUCUGAACCAGCCAAGUAGCGUGCAGGAAGACGGCCCUAUGGGUUGUAAACUGCUUUUAUAAGGGAAUAAAGUGAGUCUCGUGAGACUUUUUGCAUGUACCUUAUGAAUAAGGACCGGCUAAUUCCGUGCCAGCAGCCGCGGUAAUACGGAAGGUCCGGGCGUUAUCCGGAUUUAUUGGGUUUAAAGGGAGCGUAGGCCGGAGAUUAAGCGUGUUGUGAAAUGUAGAUGCUCAACAUCUGCACUGCAGCGCGAACUGGUUUCCUUGAGUACGCACAAAGUGGGCGGAAUUCGUGGUGUAGCGGUGAAAUGCUUAGAUAUCACGAAGAACUCCGAUUGCGAAGGCAGCUCACUGGAGCGCAACUGACGCUGAAGCUCGAAAGUGCGGGUAUCGAACAGGAUUAGAUACCCUGGUAGUCCGCACGGUAAACGAUGGAUGCCCGCUGUUGGUCUGAAUAGGUCAGCGGCCAAGCGAAAGCAUUAAGCAUCCCACCUGGGGAGUACGCCGGCAA
rnacentral:rRNA from 1 species